GACGAACGCUGGCGGCGUGCUUAACACAUGUAAGUCGAACGGAAAGGCCCUGCUUUUGUGGGGUGCUCGAGUGGCGAACGGGUGAGUAACACGUGAGUAACCUGCCCUUGACUUUGGGAUAACUUCAGGAAACUGGGGCUAAUACCGGCUAGGAGCUCCUGCUGCAUGGUGGGGGUUGGAAAGUUUCGGCGGUUGGGGAUGGACUCGCGGCUUAUCAGCUUGUUGGUGGGGUAGUGGCUUACCAAGGCUUUGACGGGUAGCCGGCCUGAGAGGGUGACCGGCCACAUUGGGACUGAGAUACGGCCCAGACUCCUACGGUAGGCAGCAGUGGGGAAUAUUGCACAAUGGGCGGAAGCCUGAUGCAGCAACGCCGCGUGCGGGAUGACGGCCUUCGGGUUGUAAACCGCUUUCGCCUGUGACGAAGCGUGAGUGACGGUAAUGGGUAAAGAAGCACCGGCUAACUACGUG
rnacentral:rRNA from 1 species